ACUCAAUUGAUGAGUCCCAAAUAGGACGAAACGCACGUCCCAGAU
rnacentral:hammerhead_ribozyme from 1 species